UACGGGGGGGGCAAGCGUUGUUCGGAAUUACUGGGCGUAAAGGGCGUGUAGGCGGCCAACUAAGUCCGACGUGAAAUCCCCAGGCUUAACCUGGGAACUGCGUCGGAUACUGGAUGGCUUGAAUUCGGGAGAGGGAUGCAGAAUUCCAGGUGUAGCGGUGAAAUGCGUAGAUAUCUGGAGGAAUACCGGUGGCGAAGGCGGCAUCCUGGACCGACAUUGACGCUGAAGCGCGAAAGCCUAGGGGAGCAAACGGGG
rnacentral:rRNA from 1 species